rnacentral:rRNA from 1 species
GAUCAUGGCUCAGGAUGAACGCUGGCGGCGUGCUUAACACAUGCAAGUCGAACGAGCUUACUUUCACGAUCCCCUCGGGGGUGACGAGUUGUAAGCGAGUGGCGGACGGGUGAGUAACGCGUGGGCAACCUGCCCCAUACAGGGGGAUAACAGUUGGAAACGACUGACAAUACCGCAUAAGCGCACAGUACCGCAUGGUACGGUGUGAAAAACUCCGGUGGUAUGGGAUGGGCCCGCGUCUGAUUAGCUAGUUGGUGAGGUAACGGCCCACCAAGGCGACGAUCAGUAGCCGACCUGAGAGGGUGACCGGCCACAUUGGGACUGAGACACGGCCCAAACUCCUACGGGAGGCAGCAGUGGGGAAUAUUGCACAAUGGGGGAAACCCUGAUGCCAGCGACGCCGCGUGAGUGAUGAAGUAUUUCGGUAUGUAAAGCUCUAUCAGCAGGGAAGAAAUUGACGGUACCUGACUAAGAAGCCCCGGCUAACUACGUGCCAGCCGCCGC